rnacentral:lncRNA from 1 species
CUCCAUCCCAUCCAUCGGAUAGAAAGAUUGACUUUUAACCCCUAAAUCUCUUUCUUUCGACUCAAGCCUAACUACGUGAAGCUUCUAAAUAUAAAAAUUUAAAUCAAGUAAAGAAAUUUAUUAAUACUGCUUGAUUUACCUGCUGUGAUGGCUGUGAUAACGAGCUCAACUGAAUGAGUGACAAGUAACUAAAAUGUUGACCUUUACAUGUGAAUGCCCUCA